rnacentral:rRNA from 1 species
CUUGGUCAUUUAGAGGAAGUAAAAGUCGUAACAAGGUUUCCGUAGGUGAACCUGCGGAAGGAUCAUUAAUGAAGUCUGGGCUCCGGCCCUCUCUCUUCUACACACUUGUGAACUUACACUGUUGCUUUGGCAGGUCUCCGGAGGGGGUUCCAAACCCUCGAAGGUCAGGUNGAAAGACGCUUGCCAAAGACAUUUAUCCACCCUUUUUUAAUUGUNUGAUUUUUGUUUUAAACAAACCAUAAAAAAACUUUCAACAAUGGAUCUCUUGGCUCUGGCAUCGAUGAAGAACGCAGCGAAAUGCGAUAAGUAAUGUGAAUUGCAGAAUUCAGUGAAUCAUCGAAUCUUUGAACGCACCUUGCGCUCGCUGGUAUUCCGGCGAGCAUGCCUGUUUGAGUGUCAUGAAUUCUUCAACCCUUCGGUUCCUUGUUGAACUCGUGAGGUGUUUGGAUUUUGAGCGGUUGCUGGUCUUUUCGGAGAUGAAGCUCGUUCGUAAUACAUUAGCAAACUAAACCUGAAUUGUUCGGAUUGACUNGGCGUAAUAGACUUUAUUCGCUGAGGACACCUCUAGUGGGUGGCCGAAUAUCGAGAUAUAGUAGCUUCUAACUCUACAAUUUGAAGUCAAAUUUAUAAGAUUAGACCUCAGAUCAGGCAGGACUACCCGCUGAANUUAAGCAUAUCAAUAAGCGGAGGA